GGCAAGGUGGCCGAGCGGUCUAAGGCGCCACGUUUAGGCAAAACCUGAAAUUCCCAUUCCGUGGUCUCGAAAGAGGCGUGGGUUCGAACCCCACCCUUGUCA